AUAAUAAAUAUAAAUAAAUGGGGAAGUGCCUUUACUCAAGUGGUUAAGUCUAUUUGAUUCCAUAUUUCCCAUCGUAGUUUGACUCCACUAAAUCGCGUUAUCCCGCGUAGUAAAGAUUGACUAUGGAUCGAAUUUUCUCGAUUCAAAGAUGUCAAAAAAACAUAAACAAAUAUAUACUAACAUUUUUAUCAAAUAUUAGAAAAUUCAGUCCUAUGAACUCAUUAUGUUU
rnacentral:sRNA from 1 species